rnacentral:lncRNA from 1 species
UGGACACAAGGCAGCUUGAGGCCGGCAAGUAUUAAAAUACCCCAAUUGGCUUCGCCGGAUCCUAGCGAACUCCGGCCUUUCAGUCAGGCUGAAGGCGGGGCAAGGUGCGAAGGGGGCGGGAUCCAACGCUAGGCGGAGCCCCUCGGAUCGGACACCGUCGAGGACGUGUUCUUCCCGACCGGGGAAGGGGAGCUGAUGAGAGGAAAGACAAGGAUGGGCGGGAUUUUUUGCAGUGCUGAAGGUGUCCGUGUGUUUGAUUAGCCUGGCAGAAAAACCUGCCAUGAGUACCCAGCUGACCACCCUGAUCCUGCUUUCCAGAGCAAAACUUACUCUUCAGGAAGUCCUUGAGCAGUGAUGCCGCAAUGACCUGUCUGCACCUCCUCUUUCUGAGGUGAGCCCACAGGAAAGGACAGUGACUGGAGAGCUCUGUUGUGUCCUGACAGAAGUCCUGCUCCCAAAGGUCCUGGAAAAUGAUUGACCAGGUUAAGCCCUCCUUGGAAGUGAAAAGCAAUUCUCUUGUCAGCAUCGUAACAAAGCAUGAAAUCUUCAAGAAUGGGCUGGAGUCAGAUACUUGGAACAUUUUGCAGCUCACCAGCAAAGGGACAAAAAAGGGAAGAGACUGUGCCUGUCAGAGCUUUGCAUCCUGCUGCCUUUCUGCACUGAGACUCCCCAGCUUUAAUUGGCAAUUUCCACACGCACUUACGAGUUCCAUCAGCCUUUCUUCCAUGUAGGUCUUGAUGGUGGUGAUUAGGGGUAAAUCACUUUAUCCACGACAACAUCCGUCCUCUCUGCCAGGAAAAACCUCAGAGUCGGAAAGGUGAUUCCGGAGGGGGGGGGCGCUUCCAGGUGUAUGUGGCAGCCACUUCCAUCCGUGCUUCACCUUCUGACAAGGGAAUGCUGAUUGUCCCACAGCAUAAGUGGGAGCAGAGGAUCCUCAGCUGUGCUGUGCCGUUGGCAAUUGGCCACUUGGAGACAUAUGUGCUGG